AGUGAACGCUGGCGGUAGGCCUAACACAUGCAAGUCGAACGGCAGCACAGUAAGAGCUUGCUCUUACGGGUGGCGAGUGGCGGACGGGUGAGGAAUACAUCGGAAUCUACUUUUUCGUGGGGGAGAACGUAGGGAAACUUACGCUAAUACCGCAUACGACCUACGGGUGAAAGCAGGGGAUCUUCGGACCUUGCGCGAUUGAAUGAGCCGAUGUCGGAUUAGCUAGUUGGCGGGGUAAAGGCCCACCAAGGCGACGAUCCGUAGCUGGUCUGAGAGGAUGAUCAGUCACACUGGAACUGAGACACGGUCCAGACUCCUACGGGAGGCAGCAGUGGGGAAUAUUGGACAAUGGGCGCAAGCCUGAUCCAGCCAUACCGCGUGGGUGAAGAAGGCCUUCGGGUUGUAAAGCCCUUUUGUUGGGAAAGAAAAGCAGCAGGUUAAUACCCCGCUGUUCUGACGGUACCAAAAGAAUAAGCACCGGCUAACUUCGUG
rnacentral:rRNA from 1 species